CAGAUUGAACGCUGGCGGCAUGCCUAACACAUGCAAGUCGAACGGGAGUAGCAAUACUCUAGUGGCGGACGGGUGAGGAAUACGUAGGAAUUUGCCCUUAAGUGGGGGAUAACCCGGGGAAACCCGGAUUAAUACCGCAUGACCUCGAAAGAGCAAAGUGGGGGAUCGCAAGACCUCACGCUUUUGGAGAAGCCUACGGUCGGAUUAGCUAGUUGGUGAGGUAAUGGCUCACCAAGGCGACGAUCCGUAACUGGUCUGACGAGGAUGACCAGUCACACCGGAUGAGACACGGUCCGACUCUACGGGAGCAGCAGUGGGGAAUAUUGGACAAGUGGG
rnacentral:rRNA from 1 species